rnacentral:lncRNA from 1 species
GAAGUGUCAGUGGCCGUUUUCCAGCAAGCGACAUUGUGGAACACUGUGUAACACUGUGUAACACUGUGUAACACCGUGCAACACAGUGUCGUAUGGUGCCCAUGUUAUUUCGCUCUUAGUGGAACGCAUAAUGUAACACAGUGCAUGCGCUUGCUGGAAAACAGGGAGUGAUAGCAUCAUGAAAAAAAAAAUGACGAGCAAGUUUGGUAAGCGAUCACGAUAUCGGGGAAAAAUUAAAGAAACGAUUGCGAUUGAAGCAUUAACAAAACCGUUAGUAGCGUGAACGCUAACGGGAUCUUCAUGCGAGGAUGAGAAACCAAUUGAGACUGAAUGAUGAAGCUGUCCAAAUUAAAGCACAACUGAAAAUUCAACGCAGGAUACAGAAAAAAAUGAUCAAGAGCUGGCGAGAAAUCUGGCGAGUGCGUACGACCGGUUGAGAGACCAUCCAGACCAGAUAAAUUUGAUAUAAGACCGGCUUAUAAUAAAACAAGAACACAUAAUCAAAUACAAUUUGAGGAUCCUAAUGUCGCUGCAUUUAUAGAUCCCAACUCACAACAGCCAAGCAUAUUGUAGCACGUCAAGCAGCUCGAGUAAUAUCGUUAGCCCAACUUAUGCUCUUUCAACACCACUUCAAGAGCUAAUGGUCGACAAGGCAUCAUGUUACAUGCCGAUUCAAGGCCAGCGACGAACACAAAUGCAAUCACCUCUCUCUCACAAGGAGAAACAAAAACAAUUCUGCGCGUGAGCAUCAUGGAACGACAGUUUGCGACAUGCGAAGCAAGUCGUGGGCCAAUUAUUUGAAAAAAGAAUCAAAUAAAUAAAAAGAACCGUUCCAAUUUUCGUGGCUGGAGCGAAAAAGCAAUCCUUAUCAAUUGAGACAUUGAGCAUAAUGGUCUGAUCGUUAGGUGUACGUUUAAAUGUGGACCAUUCGAAUGAGAUAUGAUCUACAAUGACAAAACGGUUGUUGUACAAAAAAAAUGUACAGUAAAAAUUUGGGAAAUAACAAAUAUAUUGGUUUCUAUCUUAUCGCUCGAGAAUUUAGUUGUCAACAAUUUUCAACGAAACCAUCCGGGGGCAACUGAUCAAUGUGAAUGUAAUUUUUUAUGGAUAUAUGACGGAAUGGUGGAAAAAUUGAAAUCUAUUUAUGCAAACUUAAAAAUUUUCUCCAGGAACUAAUUAUGACGCAUGAAUAAAUCCUUAGAAAUUAAAAACUCGUGUAAAUUAGAGCUAUAAAAUCAAUCCUCGGCUGGGGGAAAAAAACUCAUUUUCAGGGAAAAGUUUGAGUGUUGUGGUGAAUUCCCAAUGAAAUAUUUGGAUUCAUUUUGAAGUUCAUGAGUUUGUUACAUUUUCAGUCGAACUAAGGGAAAAUUUCGACCUUUAUCGUGACCGAUAAUUUUGUGUAUUUUAAGUAUGCUGACAUUACGCAUAAAAAUAUGAUUUGCAUUAUAACACUUAGAAUUGAAGUUUUACCUAUACGAAAAAUUAUUUUGAUAAAUAUUUUUUUCCAUAGAACAAAUGCUAAUGUACAAGAAUGAGAAAUUUACUAGUACUUAAACUAUAGUGAGACAAGAUUUUCAAUUUAACUUUCAAGAAAUUAACAAUGCAAGCAAAUCAUUGCUACAUCUAUUCUUUUGUUUGUGAAAAAAUACUGCUUAUGAAUUUAUCGGGAAAACAGUUGAGCACCAAUAUUAGCGGGAAACAUCCAAACGUAAACGUGUGAUUUACUAUCGAAAAAGGAGAGGAUUUAUUGAAAAAAUAAUAAUUGACAAGCUCGAAAUUUCAGAAACAGUUAUAUUUAUCACAAUAUAAAAGCCAUUACAGACGAGUCACAGUAAUGCAUAAAUUAUUACGAAAACAUAAAGAAAAAAAAAUAAACAUAGCUAUGUGACCAAUCCCAGAGUAAGACUUGUGCACCGCAAAUAACAGCAUUUAUUCAACUGGUAUAAGCUGAGACUGAAUGUUUGAACUAGUCAAAAUUGUUUUGUUGAGUUUAUGACAUACUUUGUCGAUAAAAAAAAGGAGACUGAUAUUGACUAGAAAACACAUUUUCAGGCGAUGCGUUCUCAAAGUUAACAAAUUUGAUGCUCGCUGAGAAGGAACAAUUGGAUUCUGAAACGCGCAUUAGAUGCUUGAAAAAAUGCAACGGGUACGUGUACGUUCCAAAUGCAAAAUAAAAACAUUCAAAAAUUGUGAUAUUUAAGAAUAAUGAUUUUUUCAUUCCAUUAAUUAUUUUCUCAUUAUUUAACAUAUUUUCGCGCGGUAAUUGCACCUGUUUAGGAGAGCCAAAAACUCUGUCAAAAAAUCAAUACUUAUUUUCUAGAUUCAUAUUGUUGAAGAAUUGAAAGAGAACAAAAUUGACUUGGCGAUCCCAUAAAGACAAACGCUCUCAUCGGUGGUGGUUUUGGUGUGCUCGUUAGUAACAUUAUUUUUUUAUUGAAGUGGUGCCAUCACAGCGGUUGUGGUGCAAGUUCUGGAAGCCGAGCUGCGAUAACCGCUUCUCGUUGAAUUUCUCGAUUGAAAGCUAUUAUUUUGGCAUCCGAGACGGUCCAACAGUAAUCCUUCGGUUUUAUCUUUCCAUACGAAUAUUAUGAAUAUGAUAACACCCUGCAGCGUAUUUGCGAAAUCUGUCAUGUACCAAACAUAUUGGGGCGAGUCCUUGAAAAGCCAGCUUAUUAUUUCCAUUGACCAGUUGAUUCCCAUUACGAUGAAGAGCUUCAGAUACAAAUUGAACCUUAAUCAAGAAAAUGCGUUGCAUUUAAAUAUAACAAUCCACUUAUUCGAAACAUAAUUUUGGUAAUUCUAUUUGAUUUUCGACGAAAAAUAUAUGUGUUCAUUUUUCGUCGAAUAUAAUAAAAAGACAAUGGGAGAUGGAGAGAAAAAAAUCAGCAGAAACGUAUGGAAAUAGUGUACAGCUCAUCGCGGAAAUAUGUCCUAACGCGGAGCGAUAAUCUUAGGUUUAGCAAAGCACCACAUGGUAUGUGUCUUCAAACUUUUUUCGGCUCAAACACAACAGAUCUGAAAAUAAUUUCCAUGCGAUAUACACGAAAACUGAGAAUCAUUCGGUUGGGAAAAAUGAGGCAUGUCCAUUGAAAAUCGUAUAUAGUGUGUAGGGUUGGAAUAUUGUUUUUAUUGCUAUGAAAAAUCUAUUCAAGCUUCGAAUUAUUCGCUUCAAUCAUGACUGAAAAAUUUUUAGAAGCUUUAAUUGUGAGUUAAAGCUCCGGGAAUUCAAUGUUUGACUAUUCAACGUUCAUUUACACGCCCGCCUUUCUCGCUACGAGUAUUAAAUUGACCGAUUUAGUAUUUCAUAUCAAAAGCGCGCUUCGAUUUUGGAAAACUAACGAACUUGAAAAGGAAAGAAUAUUUGGGAACAAACCAUUGUUUGUUAUCAUCAUGACGUUGACUGUCCAUAUCUUUUAAAUGAUGAGCUUCUUAGGUUGAAUGAUCUUCAUCGUCGUCGAUAUGAAUAAACAGAUGUUGCACAGCACCGUAACUCUUAUUGGUCCAUAGAAGUAAAGAGCCUUGGCAGAUUCACCUUACAACGGAGGAAAAAAGGGAAAACGAUUUUCAUUAAUGAGUAAUAUUUAUACAACAAGAUCUGAAAUUAAAUAUGCAAAUGGUAACUCAAUCCAAAUCAAAUCUUGGCCCAAAUUAGAGGCUAAAGGAGGAUUGAAACUUUAUUACCUGAACCUUCAACUUUAUGCAUCAGUCUGACCGCGUAGAUGAAAUCGGAAUGUACUUGAACGUGAAAGUUAUUUCAAAUUUGUGAUUUGAAUGAACUAGAUUAGGCCUUCUUUAAAACCCAACGUUUUACUAGUUUUUUUUUUCACAUUGCUCAGAAAAAAAAUGAUGAAAGAGAUAUUAAAGAAAAUUCAAAAAACUUUGACUAAGAAACCCGAAGAAUUGUAUGCAAUAUCAUAGACGAAGUUUGUGACGAGAACGUAAAUAAAAUAUCAAGUUACCUUCA